rnacentral:rRNA from 1 species
UACGUAGGGUGCGAGCGUUGUUCGGAAUUACUGGGCGUAAAGGGCGCGUAGGCGGCCUUCUAAGUCAGACGUGAAAUCCCCCGGCUUAACCUGGGAACUGCGUCUGAUACUGGGAGGCUUGAGUAUGGGAGAGGGAUGUAGAAUUCCAGGUGUAGCGGUGAAAUGCGUAGAUAUCUGGAGGAAUACCGGUGGCGAAGGCGGCAUCCUGGACCGGCAUUGACGCUGAGGAGCGAAAGCUAGGGGAGCAAACGGG